UACGAAGGGGGCUAGCGUUGUUCGGAAUUACUGGGCGUAAAGCGCAUGCAGGCGGAUCGUUAAGUCGGGGGUGAAACCCCGAGGCUCAACCUCGGAACUGCCUUCGAUACUGGCGAUCUUGAGUCCGGGAGAGGUGAGUGGAACUGCGAGUGUAGAGGUGAAAUUCGUAGAUAUUCGCAAGAACACCAGUGGCGAAGGCGGCUCACUGGCCCGGUACUGACGCUGAGGCGCGAAAGCCAGGGGAGCAAACGGG
rnacentral:rRNA from 1 species